UUGUUCUCUGUGACUCCCUUUUCUGUCUCCUAUUUUUACCCUCUGACUUACCUGCAUAGCUACUCCUGUACUAAAUGUGUUUCCAAUGAGACCAUUUUCAAUUUCAUCUUGGAAUUUUUCUUCUAGACUUCUGAGCAGAUUUUCUUUAUAUGUAAAGUUUUCACCAGUGGGAUGACAUGCUUCCAAAGCCAGUAUAAUCACAGCAAGUUGUCCCGAGGUGAAAUUUAGAGCUGAAAAGAAAAGUGUUCAAGUUUAACAAGACACAUGCUUGUGAUUUUUUUUGC
rnacentral:lncRNA from 1 species